GUUCCAGUGGUUCAAUGGAUAAGGCACUGGCCUUCAAAGCCAGGGAUUGUAGGUUUAAGUUCUGCCUAGGGUG
rnacentral:tRNA from 1 species